UCACCUACAGCCCCAAACGGCCAAGGUCAACAAGGAAAGCAACUCCCAGAAAUCACAGCGGAUCAUGGCAGGCCUCGGAAGGACAUUGGGCUGUGUGCUAACGCCCCAGGCAGAAUAGCGCAGCCCAGGCCAGGUGACACUCCCCAUUACCCUUUGAACCUGUUUAUGAUGAGACAUCACUCUCAUGGUUAUGAUACAUUGGAUGGUUAAAGGGAGAUCAUCUUGGGUAGGUCUGGCCUAAUCAGGUAAGACCUUAAUCUUCGCCUUUUCUCUGGCUGAUGGCAGAAAAGGAAGUCAGAGAGAUGUGCUCCAGCUAGCCUGCAAGAAAGGAAACAUCCAUGUGUGAACUGCCAAGUACCAGAAAACAUUUGGUCACCUGAAACACAAAAUCAACACCUGAGGAAGAACUGAGGGUAGAAGAUUUGAUCUACGGGCAUAAACAAAUACUGGAAAAACUGUGAUUUGGGAUUGAAGAGUACUGCUUCUUAUAACUGAUGCUAUGAACAUUCCUUUGAAAACACAGACAUGAUUCAAAUACACAAAACAUGAAACUACUUGCCAGUGAAAGCAAAAAAAUCUUUCAUUGGAGAGACUCUUCCCCUACUGCACAAUGUAACUUGCUUAUAUCAGAAGCUGAAGACAGAGGAUGAUCUGAGCUUUAUUUAAUAAGUAAAACAAGUGUUCUGUAUUCCAAAGGCAAAAAUCUGGAAUUUAAAAUAGCAUUCUUAAAUGUUCACACCCAACAUUAAAACAUAUUUUACAAGC